GUUUGGAGGUGUGUAGUGAUGAACUCUGAAGCUACAUGACGUUUGGAGGUGUGUAGUGAUGAACUCUGAAGCUACAUAAAGUUCACGAUCAGGGUACCACAGUGCUAGAGUUUACUGAGCUCCUGAGAGUCUGAGACGCAUUAUUUCAUUAUUGUUUGUAGAAGCAUCUGCAGGACGAGCUGCUGCUUUUAUUAUUAAACACCUGUGGAGACGGAGGCUAUUCAGUGAUGGAGGAGAGAAUAUUUUAGGCAGCAUAGUGUGGCUCAUAUGUCUGUAAAUGAGAAUUUUACUAAUCUAACACACAGUUAAAUGGUUAAAAGUAUUGCUCAAUAAUAAUUGUUUUAUUUUAAGUAUUGGUGAAUUUGAAGAUUAAAAUCAUGCAUGAGGGGUUUUAACCUUACCCAGCUAGAAUAGAGUCCAGAGUAGUGGUGAAUUGAAGCUGAAUCCAGUGAUGCCGAAGCUUGUCCACAGCUGAAGCACAUGCUGUCAGAUCUUUGAAGACUGACCAGCUGAUAAAGUGGGUGAAAUCAGGUUUAAAUUCUGAUUUGUUUGGAAGAAGAAACCUGCAGCCACACCGAUCCUUUGCAGGCUAGAUUCUAAAAGUUCCUCACAGAAAGUAUUACACCAAAUUGUUAUGAAUACACUGCCUGAUACCUGACGCACUGUUUUGCCAGAGUGUGUAACAGAUUUAUGUGAUGUACAACUCAUAUGUUCUGUUUCUGAUAUUCCACAGAUGGACUCUCUGCUCCUGCUUCUAGUAUUAACCCUUGGUGAGUAUGUAUAAAAUGUCAGAAGUGGACCCUUUGAAGGAAACCUGUGUAAAGUCUGGAUUUUGUGUUGACAGUAAUGUUCUUUUUGUUGCAGUGGCCACGUCUGUUUCUACUUCAGUCCAGCUGAAUGAGUCUGCUGCUCUGAGCUGUGACAUGUCGUGUCACGGUUUGGCACAGUGGACGAAGGAUGCAGUGAAAGUGGCAGAGUGUGGUCCUGGUGCUGAAGCAGGUCUUAGGCUCACCUGUACCCUAAACAAAAAAGGAACCAUACUUAAUAUUCCACAGGCCAACUUCUCAACCAGAGGCUUUUACUACGCAAGUUGCGUUGGUCAUAAAAUGUUUACAUGCCGAGAGUCCAUCCAGCUUGUUGCUCCUGAGUAUGUUUCUGAGCUGGAUGCUGGAGAUCGUCUGGAAGUUGAUCUUCACAUUCCCAAAGCAGUUGUCAUCGAGUUCACAGGGUUCAGAAACUCCUCUACAGUCGAGCUGUGUCGUGUGGACGGACGUCUUCAGCAGUGUCUCCCUGGAUAUCAGCAGAGGGUUCUCAUUAUUGGAAACUCUUUUAUUCUUACAGAUAUGAUGCCUUCCAACAGCGGGAACUACAGUGUACGGGAGGAGGACCAUACGCUGCUCAGCGUUUCACACGUAACUGUCACAGGUGCGUAUGAUUUUACUUUGUCAUGUUUAACAGCUCUUGCCUGUAACAAAAUCACUAUAAACCACACUUUACAAUUACUUCAAUGGUGCGAAUCAGCUUUCAGGGCCAGAACUUUAUCUUUUUUAAAGGCAAAUUCAAAUAAAAUCCAAACUUUGAAAUUCUGAGCUCUGUCAUAAAAAUAUCACUCUUUCAGUUCUCAAAAAAAUAUUGUUCUAAAUAUCUCUUUUACCCGAUUAAACCGGCUCUUUGCGUUUCUAUCCGUUAAACUUUCGCAGACAGCACUUUGGAACUGAUUAAACAUACAGAAACUAUACUGAUUCCGCAGAAAAUGCCUUGCAGCCUAUCGACCAAGGCACACAUAUGGAGUUUUACCCACAAUUAAAUAUGAAUCACUUAAAGAAAAUUAAUCAGAGAUCAUGGUAAUACUAGAACAUAUAUUGAUUAUUACUAAAUAUUAAGAUAAAAUACUGAUUAUUACGUUUAUCAAAAUUCCUUACUGUUGAAAACUUAUUUAUAGGGCUGCAACUAAUGAUUAUUUUAGUAGUCAACUAAUCUGCCAAUAAUUUUUCAGAUGAAUCGAUUAGUCAUUGAUUAUUUCCUUCAUGCCCUCCUUCUCUGCUUGCUGAGGGUACGGCUCCUGUUUCUAGCUUUAACUAUUGGUUAAAAACUAUAGAAACAGCUGAACAUGGGAUUUAAAUGCCCUUCAAAUGUCCAGAACAUUGUCCUUCGAAUGUGGAAGGUGCUAAUAAUUAUUAAGGAAAUAUGAAAUCAGUGUUUGGACACUUUUGGAGAUACAGGCCGAGUUUAGUGUUACUCGUCUAACAUUGUGUGGUAAUUUGUGUAGUGCUACAAAUUGACGAUUGGUCAAUAAUUGACAUUGUCUAUUAUAUCGACUAAUCGUUGCAGCCCUACUUAUUUAAAAACACUAAUUAAAGGAAUCUGAUGGGAAUUUGUUACACUCAUUCUGCUGCAGGACAAACCUGCACUCCAAAAAUAGAAACAAAUCCUGUCAGAGAGACACAAUUCAGCACCUGGAAUGACAACUCUACAAAGUGAUAACAUUUCUUCCAACCAAUCAGUGUUGAGUAUAGUGAGACUCUGCAUAUGUUCGUGAUGAUAACAAGGUCUAGUGAAGUUGUUUAGUUGCUCAGUCACUAAAUUGGU
ensembl:lncRNA